CCUACGGGAGGCAGCAGUGGGGAAUAUUGGGCAAUGGGCGCAAGCCUGACCCAGCAACGCCGCGUGAAGGAAGAAGGCUUUCGGGUUGUAAACUUCUUUUGUCAGGGAAGAGUAGAAGACGGUACCUGACGAAUAAGCCACGGCUAACUACGUGCCGGCAGCCGCGGUAAUACGUAGGUGGCAAGCGUUGUCCGGAUUUACUGGGUGUAAAGGGCGUGUAGCCGGGUUGACAAGUCAGAUGUGAAAUCCUGCGGAUUAACAGCAGAACUGCAUUUGAAACUGGUGAUCUUGAGUACUGGAGAGGCAGACGGAAUUCCUAGUGUAGCGGUGAAAUGCGUAGAUAUUAGGAGGAACACCAGUGGCGAAGGCGGUCUGCUGGACAGCAACUGACGGUGAGGCGCGAAAGCGUGGGGAGCAAACAGGAUUAGAUACCCGUGUAGUC
rnacentral:rRNA from 1 species